CCGGGCUGCACAAAUAUUAAAAUACUUCAUCAACGUCAAGGCAAGACCCUCCACCAGCGAAAAGAUUACGACGCGCUGAUGGCUCAGAUACUGGCCUCCAGCUCUGAAAACUGCCCAUCAUGUGGAUUAAAAGGGUCCCAGAGGUUGCUGAGUCCAUUUCCUGGUGGCAU